rnacentral:rRNA from 1 species
AUUGAACGCUGGCGGCAUGCCUUACACAUGCAAGUCGAACGGCAGCACGGACUUCGGUCUGGUGGCGAGUGGCGAACGGGUGAGUAAUGUAUCGGAACGUACCUUUCAGUGGGGGAUAACGUAGCGAAAGUUACGCUAAUACCGCAUAUUCUGUGAGCAGGAAAGCAGGGGAUCGCAAGACCUUGCGCUGAUUGAGCGGCCGAUAUCAGAUUAGCUAGUUGGUGGGGUAAAGGCCUACCAAGGCUACGAUCUGUAGCGGGUCUGAGAGGAUGAUCCGCCACACUGGAACUGAGACACGGUCCAGACUCCUACGGGAGGCAGCAGUGGGGAAUUUUGGACAAUGGGGGAAACCCUGAUCCAGCCAUGCCGCGUGAGUGAAGAAGGCCU